AUGAUAACUUUAGUUCUGGGCUUUGACAUGGAUUUCCGCCACCCUGCAUCUGUGCUAGCUCUGUUGCUUUGCCUAGCAGUUGAGGAUUUGCAUGAGGCCAGAGCACAGCCCACUUGGCCUGAGAACUUCUUUAAGGCUGCUCAAAUUCUGUGUGUCAGUCAGUCCCAGUCAGCACAUACCAUGGACAUGAGGGCCCCUGCCCAGCUCCUGGGGCUCCUGCUGCUCUGGCUCCCAGAUGCGAGGUGUGGCAUCCAGAUGACCCAGUCCCCAUCCACCUUGUCUGCAUCUGUAGGAGGCACAGCCACCAUCACUUGCAGAGCCAGUGAAAACAUUUAUGGCUAUUUAGCCUGGUACCAGCAGAAAAUAGGGAAAGCCCCUAAACUCCUGAUCUAUGAUAGUAGUACUUUGGCAUCUGGUAUUCCAUCCAGGUUCAGUGGCAGUGGGUAUGAAACAGAGUUCACUCUCACCGUCAGCAGUCUGCAGCCUGAAGAUGUUGCCACUUAUUAUUGUCAACAGCAUAGCAACUCUCCUCCCACAGUGAUAUAAGCCAUGACAAAAACCUCUCAGGGUAA